GCGUUGAUGGUUAAGUGGUAUAAUAGUUGCCUUCCAAGCAAUCGUCCCGGGUUCGAUUCCCGGUCAACGCA